UCGACUAUGGCCUGCCCUGUGCUAUUGUAUGGAAUGCCAUGUACCAGAGUGAUGUUCCACUUGGAAGCAAAUGCUUGGACAGACUUAGAGCUUGCCAUACCACCGCUGCUGUCGAAGACGCUGAGGAUGCGUCGGUGAAAACAGUCGGUCCCAGCAAAGGACUGGAAACUCUGGGGACACCAGUGUCCCGAUCCCCUCCUGUGGCAUGAGGUGAUCAUCAUCCCAGGAGGAACCCUCUGAUCCCCUAUGAGCCCUGGGGCAUUUCCCCUCAAUAAAAAAUAAUCAAUAAAC